GAGCUCUACUCUAAGAGGUUUUGUGUUGGAGCUGAAGAGCUGCUGUGUUCUCUCUGUUCUUCAGUUAGUACGAGUGAAAAUAAUGUUCCUGCUUUUCUUCUGGAUGAUGAUGAUCAUCUCCUUUCAACCAGGAUCCUCUGAGGAUUUACUGACAUCAUUUAAAGAUGUUCUUCUGGGUUUGGAAGGAGACACUGUGACUCUGUCCUGCAACUAUUCAGGAACCACACAGAUGCUGUUCUGGUACCAACAGAUGUCCAGUUCAUCUCCACAGCUGGUCACCUCAGGAAAUUCAGACACAACAGGAAGGUUGUCUUUGAAACAUGAAAAACCAACAAAGAAGUUUCAUCUGCUGAUCUCCUCUGCUGCAUUGACAGAUUCUGCUGUGUACUACUGUGCUGUGAGGCCCACAGUGACAGGAAACACCAGAACUCUGUACAAGAACCUGCAGUACUCCACAUCAUCCACUAGAGGGCCUCAUGAAUCAGGCUGCAGGAUCAUGAGGUGCAGCUGCUGGAACCAAACUUUAAUCCACUCUGUGAGGCAGCAGCACCUUCACUUGGUGCCUCUACAACAGUUCAUUUCAAUUCAAUUCAAU